AGUGAACGCUGGCGGUAGGCCUAACACAUGCAAGUUGAACGGCAGCACAGUAAGAGCUUGCUCUUACGGGUGGCGAGUGGCGGACGGGUGAGGAAUACAUCGGAAUCUACUUUUUCGUGGGGGAUAACGUAGGGAAACUUACGCUAAUACCGCAUACGACCUACGGGUGAAAGCAGGGGAUCUUCGGACCUUGCGCGAUUGAAUGAGCCGAUGUCGGAUUAGCUAGUUGGCGGGGUAAAGGCCCACCAAGGCGACGAUCCGUAGCUGGUCUGAGAGGAUGAUCGGCCACCCUGGACCUGGGACACGGUCCAGACUCCUACGGGAGGCAGCAGAGGGGAAUAUUGGACAAUGGGGGCAAGCCUGAUCCAGCCAUACCGCGUGGGUGAAGAAGGCCUUCGGGUUGUAAAGCCCUUUUGUUGGGAAAGAAAAGCAGCAGGUUAAUACCCCGCUGUUCUGACGGUACCCAAAGAAUAAGCACCGGCUAACUUCGUG
rnacentral:rRNA from 1 species